URCCUUUUGCAUCAUGCUAGAUGACGAUAUGAAUAAUAUUCUUUAACCGAAAGCUCUGGAUUUUUUUCACGGUUGCUUAGUGUUAGCUUUCAAGUAGAAUAUUGAAACUGUGAAAAUGAUGUGAAAAGUUAGACGGCAGAGCUGAUAACUGUUUAACAACUUAAAAUUUUGUAUUAUCUUUAAGGUUAUGAGAUCUUAAAGAGGAGUAUAUUUUUAUUGUGCACUAUUUAUAAUAGGGUUAAAAGUACCCAUUUAUUGUAAUAUUGUUCAAAAGUUUAUUAAUUAUUUAAUAAAAUUACUUUUAGCGGUUGUUCUUUUUUAAUUCUUAGAGGUUGAUAAUGUCUAAAUUAGUAAUAAUAACAAAGUAAUUAUUUCUCAAAUAUUGCCCGUCUGUUUAUUAAAAACAUUUCCAUAUAAAAAUUUUUAUGGUAGUACCUGCUCUAUGCAUCACAUUGUAAAUGGCCGCAGUAUUUUGACUGUGCGAAGGUAGCAUAAUUAAUUGCCUUAUAAUUGAAGGCUUGUUUGAAUGGUUUGACGUGGUGACUAUGAAUAUUUUCUUUUUAAUUGAAUUUGGUUUGGAGUGCACAGAAACCUCCAAUGUUAAUUAGACGGAAAGACCCCAGGAUCUUUUGUUUUUGUCUGGGGCAGAUUAAUAUUUUUUAUUUUAAUUUGGACCCCUAUGGUUUAAUGGUUUAAGUUACCCUGGGGAUAACAGUGUAAUAGUUUAUUAGAGACCCUAUCGAAUAAACUGUUUGCUACCUCGAUGUUGACUUAGGUAAAUUUGUUAGGCGUAGUAGUUUAGCAUUUUGGUCUGUUCGACCAUAUUAUACCUCCAUGAGUUGAGUUAAGACCGGCGUGAGCCAGGUCGGUUCUUAUCUAUUCAUG
rnacentral:rRNA from 1 species